CCUGGUCAUGUGUCGCAGGGUCGGCACCUCGAGCCGGAAUGGGGACGCGGGACCGGCGAGGUCUGGAGGAGGGGACCGAGACUGAUGCCUCGUAUAGGCAUCACCAACCCUAAAAGAACCAAGCUGGAAUUUCGGUCGUGAACAGAACAGCAGCCGACCGAGAAACAGUUGCCGGGUCCAUCGAAACGACCGGGCAACGCCUUUCUUCCUCGAGUCCCC
rnacentral:lncRNA from 1 species